rnacentral:rRNA from 1 species
GACGAACGCUGGCGGCGUGCUUAACACAUGCAAGUCGAACGGAAAGGCACUGCUUUUGUGGGGUGCUCGAGUGGCGAACGGGUGAGUAACACGUGAGUAACCUGCCCUUGACUUUGGGAUAACUUCAGGAAACUGGGGCUAAUCCCGGAUAGGAGCUCCUGCUGCAUGGUGGGGGUUGGAACGUUUCGGCGGUCGGGGAUGGACUCGCGGCUUAUCAGCUUGUUGGUGGGGUAGUGGCUUACCAAGGCUUUGACGGGUAGCCGGCCUGUGAGGGUGACCGGCCACAUGGGGACUGAGGUACGGCCCAGACUCCUACGGGGGGCAGCAGUGGCGAAUAUUGCACAAUGGGCGGAAGCCUGAUGCAGCAACGCCGCGUGCGGGAUGACGGCCUUCGGGUUGUAAAACGCUUUCGCCUGUGACGAAGCUGGAGUGACGGUAAUGGGUAAAGAAGCACCGGCUAACUACGUG